ensembl:lncRNA
AAAAAUCAGACAUUUGAGUCUGUGAACAUGCAACUGUCUCCUUUUCUUUUGCUUCCAGUAGAGCACACCCCCUAUCACCUAAAAAGGCAAGAGUGCAACUGCUAAACGCUACACUGUCUAAGAAUAAACCAGGCUUGCAGUGUCUAAGGUUACCUUGAAGCACCCCAGCAUUUCUCCCGUCUCACGCUCAUGUGAGGCACCAAUAACAUGGGCUAAAUUACCAGCACUUAUUUGCUGCAUCCCCUGCAAGAGCCUGAACUCCCCUGUUUACGGCCAUGCCCUAACAUCCCAUUCUCCCCCAGCCAUGAUCUCAAAUCCGGCACUUUGAAAACCCUCAUCCUGCUUUUCUCACAAGAUUGUGAGGAUUCACCUGUGGAUUAAAUGGGGACAACAAAAAAGAACAUCUUUUCCUGAGUGGGAUUUAACAUCAACUGGGUGAAACGGUCCAAAUAAGAUUGGGAUACACAAGCGAAAUCAAAGGACACUCGGCUGAAGUACCACCAUGGCUCAGGCAACUAAAGGUCCCGUGGUGAAGUCCAUCCCUCCCACUGGUGUAGCUGCCCCGGCUAGAACAGCACACACAGACUCACUUACUGCCGGGAGCCAUGGAAUUUUACGAAUCAUGAAUCGCCCGGCACAGUGGGUGGUCAUCAUCACACUUCUGAUUUCUUGGUCAAUAGCAGGUGUUGUCAUGUUUGAUUUUGUCAGUGACGAUCAGAUUGCAAGCAUCCAGGAUUUUGGCUCUGAUCCAGUGCUAGCAGUGAGCAAGGCCAUCGAAGGCAUUGAAAACUGGAUAAACCAUAUGAACGAUAUGCUUUAUGAUGCUCACGAGUACAUCACUGAAAUAAUAUUUAAUCCGAGGGAAGCUAUUAGUUUAGCAGCUGACUCAUCUGUGUCUUAUCUGUCAGGAAUAUUUAGUGCUGAUGGAGAUUCAGGAGUCACUGAAACAGUGAAAUAUGGUGGCACUGUAUUGGAUGAGGCUACAGAAUGGAUCAGAACCCCAGUGAGCUACUUAUUCCACUUGUUUGAAGACAUAUUGGAUAUAGUGAUUACUCCAGUGGAUAUGGUCACUGAAGUUGCUGUGCAAAUUUUAAGUGGGAUCAAGACCAUUAUACAAUAUAUUUCAACCAUGUUUGGGGGCAUUGAAGGGGAUACAGGCAUCACUGAAACAGUGAAACUUGGUGGUACUUUAUUGGAUGAGGUUACUGAAUGGAUCAGAUUCCCAGUGGGCUACUUAUUCCACUUAUUUGAAGGCAUCUUGGAUGUAGCAAUCAUUUAUCCAGGGGACAUUGCCACUGAAGCAGUUCUGCAAAUUUUAAGUGGGAUCAAGACCAUUUCUUCAACCAUAUUUGGAUACCUUGAAGUUUGGUUUCCCAAAAUGAGCACUGGUCCCGCAGAACUGGCUGAAAUUGUUGUAGAGAAGGCCACAGACAUAAAGACCACUGUCUCUAAUUACCUAACCAGUCUGUUUGCAGUGGAUGAAGGUGGUAUUCCUGACAUUAGCUUUGAUCCCAUGAAAGUUGUCACAGACACUGUUGAGGAGUUUGCUGACAGGAGGGAUAUGUUCUUGGCCUAUCUCUCCAACAUGGAAGACAAAGAUGACACACCGCAAGUGAUAAGACGGAAAGGAGAAUUUCUGCCCCCUAUGGAAAAAGUUCUUGAACAAGUGAAAGAAGCCAAAGAGAAAAAAGCUAGAGAGGAGAUAUACAAAAUCAUUCAAGAUAUGAGGGAAAAGAAGGCUGAAAGUAAAGAGGAAGAGAUAACACUGCAACGAAUAAACAUAACAGUAGAAAAAGUCAAGAAGAAAAAGGAGAUAGAAAAGGCUAAAAGAAAAGAAAAAUCCAAAGAGGACAAGACUCGAGAACCAACAGAAAAGGACACCAAGAAAAAAACUGAGAAAAAGGUCAAGGUGACUAAAGUGGGCGAGGAACCCCCUCUAAAAAAGAAGAAAUCUGAAGCUAAAAUGGCCAAAAAAGAGACCAAACUAGCAACAUCUAAGAAAGAGCCUCGAGUUACAAAAGAAAAGGCUAAACCAGCUCGUUCAAAGAAAGAGCCUGAGGUUUCCAAAGAGAAGGCCAAGCUGAAGCCCUCAAAGAAAGAAGCUAAAGCUCCCAAGGACAAAAUUAAACCGGCCCUUUUGAAGAAAGAGCCUGAUGUUUCUAAGGAGAAAGAAAAACCACCAACUGCAAAGAAAGAAGAAAAGCCAACAACCGCUAAAAAAGAGCCUGCAGUUGCAGAAGAGAAAGUCAAACCAGUGCCCUCAAAGAAAGAUACUAAAGCUAUUAAGGAGAAAGUGAAACCAGCCCCAGUUAAGAAAGAGCCUGAGGUUUCCAAAGAAAAAGCCAAGCCAAAACGUUUAAAGAAAGAGGCUAAAUCUGUUGAAGAGAAGGCAAAACCAGCACCAGCUAAAAAAGAGAAGGAGAAACCUCCAAAGAAAGCUGUAAAAGAAAAGCCCAAACCUGCUUCUGUAAAGAAAGAACCUAAAUUUCCAAGAGAGAAAGCAAAACCUAAACCUUCCAAAAAAGAGGCAGAAGUUGCCAAAGACAAGCAUAAACCUGUCACUGUGAAGAAAGAACCUGCUGUUGCAGUUGAAAAGGCAAAACCGAAACCUGCACCAAAGAAAGUUACCAAAGAGAAAGCUAAACCAGAACCUGCAAAGAAAGAACCUGAGAUAACCAAAGAAAAACCGAGAGCACCAAAGAGAAAGGCUCAAGUUAUUAAGGAGGAAGCUAAACCAGCUCCUGCAAAAAAAGUCUUCAAAGAUGUUAAACCAGCCCUUAAGAGAAGAGAGGCUAAAGUAAUGAAGAAGAAAGUUAAACCGACUCCUGUAAAGAAAGAGCCUGAAGUUGCUAAAGAAAAGGCACCUGAAUCAGCACCAAGAAUAGAAAAGCCAAAGCCAGCACCAAAGAUAGUGGCUAAAGUCAUCAAGGAGAAACCUAAACCAGUUCCUGAGAAGAAAGAAGCUGUAAUCAUCAAAAAGAAAGUUAAACUGGCUCCAGUAAAGAAAGCACCUGAGAUAAUCAAAGAAAAGCCAAAGCCAGCACCAAAGAAAGAGGCUGAAGUCAUCAAAGAGAAAGCUAAACCAACUCCUGAAAAGAAAGUCAUCAAGGAGAAACCUAAACCAGUUCCUGAGAAGAAAGAAGCUGUAAUCAUCAAAAAGAAAGUUAAACUGGCUCCAGUAAAGAAAGCACCUGAGAUAGUCAAAGAAAAGCCAAAGCCAGCACCAAAGAAAGAGGCUGAAGUCAUCAAAGAGAAAGCUAAAGCAACUCCUGAAAAGAAAGAGACCGAAGUCAUCAAGGAGAAAGUUAAACCAGCCCCUGUAAAGAAAGUUAAAGUUCCAAAGGAAAAGACAAAACUUGUCCUUGAAGCAAAGGAACCCAAAAUAACUAAGGAAAAGCCAAAGCCAGCACCAAAGAAAGAAGCUUUAGUCAUCAAAGAGAAAGCUAAACCAGCCCCUGUGAAGAAAGAGUCUGAAAUUAUCAAGGAAGAAAGAAAGAAAGCUAAACCAGCUCCUAAGAAGAAAGUGGCUGAAGUCACCAAGGAGAAAGCUAAGCAAGCUCCGAUGAAGAAAGAGCCUGAAGUCACUAAAGAAAAGUUAUUAGAACCAACUCCAAAAAAAGAGCUCCUGAACUCUAUCAGCCAAAAACUGUCUCUUCUGGAUUUACUGAGGAAGGACAUUGGUGAAAUGAAGAGUGAUCUGGAGUCCACUCAAAAUCAAAUUACGCUUUUACGAAUGGACAACAGAACAAUCAAAGAGCCAAAGACUGUUGGUGUAAAGGUAAAACCAGCAGUCUCCAAGGAAAAGGUCAAAACAGCAAAAAAAGACCAUGAUGCUCUGAUGAACGUUACAGCACAUAUUAAAGCAGAAGCUGAAAUCAUCAAAAAGAUAAAAGAUAAAGUUAAACUGGCUCCUUUAAAGAAAGAACGUGAUGCACUGAAAAACAUCACUAAACCAGCACCUGCAAAGAAAGAUAAAGAGGCUCCAAAAGCUAAGAUCAGACCACAGCCCAAAAAGAAAGAAAUCACCCAUGAGAAGGUCAAACAAGUAAAGGAACCUUUACAGAAAGUCGAGCCAACUAAGAAGGAGGCUGUUGUGGGCAAGGAAGUAAAAGGAGAAGAACCUGAUGUCUCCAAAGAUAUUCCAGAGAUGGAGGAUGAGGAUGUUCCCUACUUCCAGUGUUUCUUUGUGGAUGAGGAUGAUACUCAGUAUCCAUUCUUCCCCUUUUCACCACCGCUGUGGUGAAACUAGCCAAACCUCGUAUUCUGAUGUUAAACAACAUGGCAAAGCCAGUGAAGACGGACCUCUGAACGCUCUGAUGCAGUGGAGAGCUUCACAGUAGGUCCUACAGCAUUACACCAGCAAUGACCAAGAAAUGUGAAAGAGAUUUAAGUUACUUCCUGGAUCUUAAAACUCGAAAACUUCCUUCUCAGAUUCUUUGUCAUUUUGAAGAACAGAGUUUGCAAAUAUUGCGCUAUUUAUUAUAUCAUCUUAAGGCUAUCCAUCUUUUUAUUAAUACCAUGGAUUUGCCUUUUGUUUCUGAAUGAUUACUAUCUAUUUAUGAUUAAUAUAUAUGUCCAAGAAGGACAGGAAGAAAUGAAAGAACUAACUUCCUUUCUGAACAUGCAGUGGGGUUCAGGAUUGUAAGAUUAUAUAGUCUUUUAUAUAAACAUGAGGCGUGACCUCGUUUUGAUGGGGUGCUAAUUCUAAGCAUUCCACUGUGUUUUCUGUCAGAAUGGGGUUUGGAAGUUGUUCACGGUUCGUACAACUGGAAGGAAGGAUAUAAUAAAACAAGAAAUAUGUAAACUAUUUCAUAUAUCCUUUCUUAGUGAUACCGUUUACUAAACUGUUUACAGAAGUAACAGCUGCACUGAGAAAUACGGGCUUUGGACCGUAAGCUCAGUUCCUCAGAAUGUAUACAUCAUUUUAUUUAUAUAUUAUUUUUAUUUUGUUUUAUUCCUCUCUCUUUUUUAGCUUUCCAUACAUUUUACUUAAUAUAACUUGCCAAAUGUUUUAUAAAUCUAUACUUCAGAGGAAACAAAUAUGUUUUGUUCAGUGCUCUUUAUAAAUGAUUUUGCAUAACAAAAUUAAGAUAAGCUGUUGUGCUAAAUCCAAGAAAAAGCAUCAAACAUCAAGGCAACUACGUUGUUCUAGUAUAUCACAUUGCAAACACUACUGUUUUUACUUUUAUCUGCAUAACAUUAAUAGUUUAUUUAAGAUAAUGUCUGUAAAAAUGUGGGUGUGUUUUUGCAAUAUUACAUGGAUAGACCUACCUAAUAGAGAAGAGACAAUUAAAUAGCAUUCUGAAUUGUGUAACAAAAAUUGUCUGUUCCACAUUAUACUCAUACAGAAGAUUUUUUUUUAUUAUUAUGGGAUAAUGUGUCAAAUUAAAUUUAUUGCAUGCAACCACCGUGUGUUUCAACACUGCCCCUGGUGGCUCCCUGGCUCAUUACUCCAUUGCUUGAUUUAAUGAUAUUGAGUGUUUAAUGGUAUGUACUAGUGAGACACACCAUUAAACUAGUGUGCCGGUGGGCUGCCCUGGAGACAUUUCUUUUACUGCCACUGUCUUUUCUGUAUGAGUUCAGCAUGUGGCUCCAUUGAACAUAAACUCAUGUCUGUACAAAGAGCUUUUUUACCUCUGAUGUUAAGUAACUUAGGGUGAUCGUACGUUCUGUUUUUCCCAGACAUGUCCUGGCCAGGAUUUCUAAAUUGCCUAAAAUGUCAUUUUUUUGACUUUCUGAAGGUAAUGACUGUAAAGUAGUUUCACCAGCAUGCAGGCAUUGUGCUUAAUCGACCAGUUGUGGCCUGCGAGAAGGUGGGAUCUACAGAGAAGAGUCAAAGCAGUGCAAAUACAUGUACACAUAAUGUCUGAGGACUCUAGAGAGGAAACGCCAAAACCUGGACAUUUUAGGCAAUGUAGAAAUCCCGAUCAGGAUAUGUCUGGCAAUAAGAGGAUGUAUAGUCAACUGUACAAAUACAUAUUGUAGCAAUGCUCACUUGUAACAGAUAUACAGGUCUUUUUUGGACUUUUUUGGACUUUUCAAGUAAAUUAUGAGCUUGUUGGUGUGUUCUCAAGCAAACUGUGAAGCAAUGAAUAACAGCAUUUUUCAAUAGUUCAUAUAGUUCUUUAAGAUAUGUGUACUGUUAUUUUAAACCUAAUUUACAGUUCAUAUUUGAAAAAUGUUCCUCAAAGAUAAUAGUUUGCAUGAUGUUUGCAUGAAUUUUGUUUAAAAAUGUAUCUAAACCAGACCAUAUUUAAUUUGUGUGUGUUUUUAAUUGGAAUUACAUAAUUUCAUUGAAAAUGUAUAAUGUAAUAUUAUAUUCAUUUGGGUUUGUUUGUUUUUUUGCAUGGUUUUGAAGUUAGAUGUUGAAAACAUUCUCUGUACAAUGUAUAGCCAUAAACUGAAAUCAUAUUUAUAAAGCUCUAAACAGAAUCAACAAUAUGGUCUCCAGUCAAAAAAAAAAAGGCCUGUAUGCAACUGUAAAUGCUAUUGUAACUGUAAUACAGACUUGAUACAGUCUGAUUUAAGUUUUAGAAUAAAUAAAUGUUUGCAAUAAUCACAAUUGUUUGAGGGCUCUUGCAUUACUUGUUGGGGGUUUUUCAGUAAUUUAUUUAUUUUUUUUCUUUGGUCAGGUCUUUUUGAAGAAAUAUUUCAUUAU